AGAGGAACAAGGAACAGAACAACAAACGGAUGAGGGACAGAGUCCGUUCCGGGUCUCCAGAGCCAUCAGAGAGUUCUCCCCAAUCGCCUCCGGGGAGAUCAGACCAGAUCAACUGCUCAGAGAUCCCACCAGAGAGCCGACAGCUCUCGAAACAUCCCUCAUACUAGACGCCGUUUCAUUCAUCAUUCUGGUUGGUCUUCCAAGACGCCACUCAAACACCGGCCAGACCAUGACGUAAUGAGGAAAUCCCCCAAACAGGUCCCGCCUACUGCAUGCGUACAUUCCGGCCUGCUACUGGACAAUCAUGUCUUGUCCGUGCCUGCUCCGGCCUUGUGCGACAGGAUUGGUUUCCUGCACGCUUCCAGAAGUGAACUUAAGCCUUG
ensembl:lncRNA